rnacentral:rRNA from 1 species
CGGCACGCCUAACACAUGCAAGUCGAACGAAGUAGCAAUACUUAGUGGCAGACGGGUGAGUAACAUGUGGGUAUCUGCCCUUUGGCCUGGAAUAACACGAGGAAACUUGUGCUAAUACCGGAUAAGUCUUUACGGAGAAAGCUUUAUGCACCAUUGGAUGAGCCUGCACUUGAUUAGUUUGUUGGUGGGGUAAUGGCCUACCAAGACUUUGAUCAAUAGCUGAUUUGAGAGGAUGAUCAGCCACAUUGGGACUGAGACACGGCCCAAACUCCUACGGGAGGCAGCAGUGGGGAAUCUUGCACAAUGGAGGAAACUCUGAUGCAGCGAUGCCGCGUGAGUGAAGAAGGCCUUUGGGUUGUAAAGCUCUUUCGUCGGGGAAGAAAAUGACUGUACCCGAAUAAGAAGGUCCGGC